UAUUGGUGAAAAUAAUAAACUUCUUUAUGUGCAAAUAUAAAUUUAAACUAACCCAGAGCUGUCUUUAAUUUCGCCUCCUAGUUGCCUUGUAUAGUGGUUCUCCUGUUGUGUGUUUCAUAAACAGAGCAUAAACUCCAUGACCUAAGAUCAAAAUAUUUACAAAGCCGUACUUCUUUCUGCACAGCCAGAUAUGGAGCUUCUAGGUUUCCCAGCUUCAAGAGGCCCCUCACAGUCAUGGCCCCGUCCCUCCAACUACCAAGACUGUAGCACCAAGUCUUCCUCACGCUGCUGUGUGUCUGCUUCUCUGCGACAGAGGCUGGUUCCACUAUCAAGGACUCGUGAGACUAGGCUGGACCGCCUGCAAGUUCCAGGAUAAACAUUAUCAUUGUAAGGACUUGAUCACAUCUACAAAGUCUCCUUUUUCAGCUUGGUGGUCUCCUCGUUAUUGAUGUGAUUCUCAUCUCCCCCUCAAUACACACACAAUUUUAAUUGCUUUCAUCCGCCUCCCCCCAAAGAAAGCAGUAAAAAGAGAGGGAUUGCUGAAGACAGGAGCCCUUUGGGCAGUUAGAAAAACAAUAGAAAACAAAACCAUCUUUGGAUGUGACAGAGGUUGUCAAUCAAGAGAGCAAACAAGGGGAAGAAAGAAGAGGAAGAAAGUACACCAGACGCUGUCUGCUAUCACCCCUCUCGCUGAGCGGCUGGAGAGACAGCCUCAAACAUUUAAGAAGUGCAGGUUCUCAAGGAAAGAGAUGGUUGAGCUUGGAGGAGGUGGUGGAGGUAAGGAGGGGUGCCACCUGUCCUUGAAGAAGGGAACCCAUACACAACUCCAGGAUAGCAGCUUCCCAGACUGUGGAUGUCAUCAUCCUCUGAAAGGGAUGUGGAAAAAGAAGUCUUCAUGGAGCCAAGCUUUGGAGCUUUUUCUACUAUCACCAGGACCCAUCUGGAUAUUUCUUUAGAAUCUUCUCUCCAUCAGAGGCUAGUGCCCUCUGUACACAAACUUCAUUUUCCCAAGAACCAGACUGGACAAAGCUGGACUCCAAAAUUCCACAUCCUGCAAAUGCCAGAACCAUUUAAAACUGAAUUUUUCUGUAGAUCUGAAAUGCUUGAACUGAGUAUAAAGAUAAGUUUUCUCCUAAUAACAUGACAAGUGUAGAAAUUGUUAUGAAUGAUUCAAACUGUAUAGACACACAAUAUUAAAGACAUGCAAAGAUGGAGAAUGUGACAGUGUUUUCUAGAUUCACAGACACUGACAGACAAUAGCAAACAAGUCAAGAAUUUCUUAAGAUCUGCAACAAAAUAUGUAUCUAAAUAGAGACACAAAAUACCAUCACUAAAUUACACUUACUAUGAAAGAAAUGUUGUAUUAUGAGUCACAGGCUCC
rnacentral:sRNA from 1 species